GCAGAUUAUGCCUUUUCAAGUGUUUUGCUAGAGCGCCAGCGCUCCUCUGACCCGGCACACUUUGGCAAAGUUGCAGUGGCCUGUUUGCUUAGGCACUGAAGUGGAUGACCCAAGUUAGGAUGACAACUUGCAGAGAACGCGGAUGAGACCUUCAGUUUGUGCCCACACUCAUUUGCAGCAACCCUAACAGAGAUUGCGAAGAUUUUCAAAGUGGGGCACCUCGAUUUCUCGAAUCUGUGGUGUGGCGAAUAUCCGUGUUCCUCCUGCUUAACUAGCCUGUUUGAAGGCACAGUUCAUUCUCGAGCAAUUCGUCACCUCCUGGGGGUCUUCUCUUCCCGUCUACAGGAGAGUGUGACUUCAGAAAGAACUUCGGAUUGGCCAAGGCAGGUCUGAUUCUAUUUAUUCUAAAGACAGAGUUGGAGAUGGGCUACCAUUGGUGUUGAUUGAGAUGACAAGCAGUCACCUGAGCCCAUACAGCUGGUAAGUAGAACAGUACUGGAGAGAUGGCUCAGCAGUUAAGAGCACUGACUGCUCUUCCAGAGAUCCUGAGUUCAAUUCCCAGCAACCACAUGGUGGCUCACAAACAUCUGUAAUGAGAUCAGGUGCCCUCUUCUGGUGCCUUUG
rnacentral:lncRNA from 1 species